UACGAAGGGGGCUAGCGUUGUUCGGAAUUACUGGGCGUAAAGCGCGCGCAGGCGGUCCUUUAAGUCAGGGGUGAAAGCCCAGAGCUCAACUCUGGAACUGCCUUUGAAACUAGAGGACUUGGGUACGGGAGAGGUGAGUGGAAUUCCGAGUGUAGAGGUGAAAUUCGUAGAUAUUCGGAAGAACACCGGUGGCGAAAGCGGCCCCCUGGCCCGGUCCUGACGCUGAGGCGCGAAAGCGUGGGUAGCAAACGGG
rnacentral:rRNA from 1 species